GCUAACGUCCGUCGUGAAGAGGGAAACAACCCAGACCGCCAGCUAAGGUCCCUAAAAUUGGCUAAGUGGGAAACGAAGUGGGAAGGCUAAAACAGUCAGGAUGUUGGCUUAGAAGCAGCCAUCAUUUAAAGAAAGCGUAAUAGCUCACUGAUCGAGUCGUCCUGCGCGGAAGAUGUAACGGGGCUAAGCCAGUUACCGAAGCUGCGGAUUUGCACGAAAGUGCAAGUGGUAGGAGAGCGUUCUGUACGCCUGUGAAGGUGGAUCGCGAGGUCUGCUGGAGGUAUCAGAAGUGCGAAUGCUGACAUGAGUAGCGUUAAAGCGGGUGAAAAGCCCGCUCGCCGUAAGCGCAAGGUUUUCUACGCAACGUUCAUCGGCGUAGAGUGAGUCGGCCCCUAAGGCGAGGCAGAGAUGCGUAGCUGAUGGGAAACAGGUCAAUAUUCCUGUACCGAUCGAUAGUGCGAUGUGGGGACGGAGAAGGUUAGCUCAGCCAACUGUUGGAUAUGUUGGUUCAAGCCUGUAGUCGUGCCUGGUAGGCAAAUCCGCCGGGCUUAGAUGAGGGGUGAUAACGAGGCUGCUUGCAGCCGAAGUGAGUGAUACCCUGCUUCCAGGAAAAGCCACUAAGCUUCAGCUAUUGACGACCGUACCGCAAACCAAC
rnacentral:rRNA from 14 species